rnacentral:rRNA from 1 species
CGCCUGUUUAUCAAAAACAUCUUUUCUUGUUAGUUUUUGAAGUAUGGCCUGCCCGCUGACUUUGGUGUUGAAGGGCCGCGGUAUUUUGACCGUGCAAAGGUAGCAUAGUCAUUAGUUCUUUAAUUGUGAUCUGGUAUGAAUGGCUUGACGAGGCAUGGGCUGUCUUAAUUUUGAAUUGUUUAUUGAAUUUGGUCUUUGAGUUAAAAUUCUUAGAUGUUUUUAUGGGACGAGAAGACCCUAUAGAGUUUAACAUUUAUUAGGGUCCUUUUCUGUUUGUGAGGGUUCACUGGGCCGUCUAAUAUGUUUUGUUGGGGUGAUGGGAGGGAUUAAUUUAACCCCUCCUUUUUAUUAUUAUAUUUAUUUAUAUUUACUUGAUCCAUUUAUUUUGAUUGUAAGAUUAAAUUACCUUAGGGAUAACAGCGUAA